ACCACCUGGGGAUCUUGUUAAAAUGCAGAUUCUGAUUUGGUAGGUCUGGAGAGUGGCCUGAGAUUUUGCAUUUCUAACAAGCUCCUAAGUGAUGCUGA
rfam:Loxodonta africana unplaced genomic scaffold scaffold_5, whole genome shotgun sequence.